rnacentral:rRNA from 1 species
AAAGGAAUAGACGGGGGCCCGCACAAGCAGUGGAGUAUGUGGUUUAAUUCGACGCAACGCGAAGAACCUUACCAGGGCUUGACAUAUACGGGAAUACUUGCGAAAGUAAGUAGCUCUUCGGAGCCCGUAUACAGGUGGUGCAUGGUUGUCGUCAGCUCGUGUCGUGAGAUGUUGGGUUAAGUCCCGCAACGAGCGCAACCCCUGUCCUUAGUUGCCAGCACGUAAUGGUGGGAACUCUAAGGAGACUGCCGGUGAUAAAUCGGAGGAAGGUGGGGACGACGUCAAAUCAUCAUGCCCUAUAUGUCCUGGGCUACACACGUACUACAAUGGCUGUAACAGAGGGAUGCGAACCCGCGAGGGGGAGCGAAACCCAAAAAAGCAGUCUCAGUUCGGAUUGAAGGCUGAAAUUCGCCUUCAUGAAGCCGGAAUUGCUAGUAAUGGCAGGUCAGCAUACUGCCGUGAAUACGUUCCCGGGCCUUGUACACACCGCCCGU